GCACAAACUUGCAUAUCACUAUCUGUCACUGCUGCUCAUAUUUUCUUGACCUCAUAUUCCUUUUGACUUUCCUACAAAUAUCAAUACAAGUCUGAACUGCUGGGCCAUUCGGAGACAGAGAUGGAAAUGGAGUAAUCAGAGGAAAAGUGGUACAGCUGUGGCAGGGACAUGGAAGCUGGUCAAAGUUGAUGAGAAAAUGGAUGGAGCUGAAUGCCGAUGGGACAAGACCAGUUAGAUGGAGCAAAAGACUUCAGACUGGGGCAGAAAUAAACGUUUUUAAAGUCAACCAGAUCUACAAAAAACAGUUUGGAUCAAAGUGCAUCCAGUGUAAACCUAAUGCAGUUGAGAAUCUGUGUUAAAGCCACAAAGAUUGAUGUUCAGAGUUCCUCUACGUCUAUUUUUAAUGAGCCUGAGAGAUUUUGACUGAGGAAGACCCUGCAGCUGUAGCUGCAGUGAAGGAUGUUUCUACAAAGUGUUGACAGGAAGAGGUUGAUCACAUUUUUUAUUAUAAAAAAUCAGAAAACACUGAAUCAUUUCCUUCCACUUCAAAGUUUUGCAAUACUCUUUUGAUGGGCAAAAACAAAACAUACUAAUGAGAAAAGUGAAAAUGUGAAAAAUUGUGAAAUAAAUAUUAUCCUCCUUUGGAAAAACAGAUUUUUCCUGUUAGCUUCAGAUGCAUCACAGAAUCUUUUUAACGAGACUCCUUGUUGUGUCAAAUCGCCUGAAGGAGGACUGUAAGAUUUGUUGUAGUUUGCUGGUUUAAUUAGAGAAGCACCGUUUAACAAACUGGUUUCAGUCGUAGUUGGAUUGGAUUAAAGUGGAGCCCAUCUGUUACUGUAUUGAAUGCAACUAUGAUUGUGGCUCAAAUUAAAUCAGUUUUUGUUUUUCCCACUUUGUUUUUAUGUAAAUUGCCUUUAGUAGUCACUUUGUUUUGAUUCAAUGCUACAAGAUUAAAUUAACUUUGAAUUAAAGUCGAUUUCACUGACAUUGAUUCUCUACAUUUUCUCUAAAUUGACUUUGAAUAAUUGAAAAUAUUUUGAAAACUCAGCAUUCUCUGUGGAAAAUGCUCCCUGUUCUGCAUAGAGAAUGGGUAGCACUUCUGUAUGGAGCAGAAUAGUGCAUUUUGCAUUUGCAGUGGUUGUGUGAGGUACCUAUGAGCAGUCAGUGUCUUACCAGCAGUAGAAGUGGUUCAGCAUGUCCAGAGUCUGGAGUUCCCACCGAUGAGCUAAGUUAACUGGCUCGUAGGUUUGGGUUUACCACAUUUUUGGCUAUCAGAAAAAAUAAACUUCAAACAAUUCUUUGUGUUUGAUGCUGUU